GAGUUUGAUCCUGGCUCAGGACGAACGCUGGCGGCGUGCUUAACACAUGCAAGUCGAACGAUGAACCACUUCGGUGGGGAUUAGUGGCGAACGGGUGAGUAACACGUGGGCAAUCUGCCCUGCACUCUGGGACAAGCCCUGGAAACGGGGUCUAAUACCGGAUACUGACGCUCGCAGGCAUCUGUGAGGGUCGAAAGCUCCGGCGGUGCAGGAUGAGCCCGCGGCCUAUCAGCUUGUUGGUGAGGUAAUGGCUCACCAAGGCGACGACGGGUAGCCGGCCUGAGAGGGCGACCGGCCACACUGGGACUGAGACACGGCCCAGACUCCUACGGGAGGCAGCAGUGGGGAAUAUUGCACAAUGGGCGAAAGCCUGAUGCAGCGACGCCGCGUGAGGGAUGACGGCCUUCGGGUUGUAAACCUCUUUCAGCAGGGAAGAAGCGAAAGUGACGGUACCUGCAGAAGAAGCGCCGGCUAACUACGUGCCAGCAGCCGCGGUAAUACGUAGGGCGCAAGCGUUGUCCGGAAUUAUUGGGCGUAAAGAGCUCGUAGGCGGCUUGUCGCGUCGGUUGUGAAAGCCCGGGGCUUAACCCCGGGUCUGCAGUCGAUACGGGCAGGCUAGAGUUCGGUAGGGGAGAUCGGAAUUCCUGGUGUAGCGGUGAAAUGCGCAGAUAUCAGGAGGAACACCGGUGGCGAAGGCGGAUCUCUGGGCCGAUACUGACGCUGAGGAGCGAAAGCGUGGGGAGCGAACAGGAUUAGAUACCU
rnacentral:rRNA from 1 species